rnacentral:rRNA from 1 species
UACAGAGGGUGCAAGCGUUUAAUCGGAAUUACUGGGCGUAAAGCGUGCGUAGACGGUUUAUGUAAGUCAGGUGUGAAAGCCCCGGGCUCAACCUGGGAAUGCCAUUUGAGACUGCAUAGCUAGGGUACGGAAGAGGGAAGCGGAAUUUCAGGUGUAGCGGUGAAAUGCGUAGAUAUCUGAAGGAACACCAGUGGCGAAAGCGGCUUCCUGGUCCAGUACCGACGUUCAGGCACGAAAGCGUGGGGAGCAAACAGG